rnacentral:rRNA from 1 species
GAUGAACGCUGGCGGCGCGCCUAACACAUGCAAGUCGAACGGCACCCACCCUCGGGUGGAAGCGAGUGGCGAACGGCUGAGUAACACGUGGAGAACCCGCCCCCUCCUCCGGGAUAGCCUCGGGAAACCGUGGGUAAUACCGGAUGACCCCGCAGGGCCGCAUGGCCCCGCGGGCAAAGCCCAGACGGGAGGGGAUGGCUCCGCGGCCCAUCAGGUAGACGGCGGGGUGACGGCCCACCGUGCCGACGACGGGUAGCCGGGUUGAGAGACCGACCGGCCAGAUUGGGACUGAGACACGGCCCAGACUCCUACGGGAGGCAGCAGAGGGGAAUCUUGCGCAAUGGGGGGAACCCUGACGCAGCGACGCCGCGUGCGGGACGAAGGCCCUCGGGUCGUAAACCGCUUUCAGCAGGGAUGAGACAAGACGGUACC